rnacentral:rRNA from 1 species
UACGUAGGGCGCAAGCGUUAUCCGGAAUUAUUGGGCGUAAAGAGCUCGUAGGUGGUUUGUCGCGUUGUCCGUGAAAACUCACAACUCAAUUGUGGGCGUGCGGGCGAUACGGGCAGACUGGAGUACUGCAGGGGAGACUGGAAUUCCUGGUGUAGCGGUGGAAUGCGCAGAUAUCAGGAGGAACACCGAUGGCGAAGGCAGGUCUCUGGGCCACUACUGACGCUGAGAAGCGAAAGCAUGGGGAGCAAACAGG